AUGCACGCUGGCGGCGUGCCUCAUCCAUGCAAGUCGAGCGAACAGACGAGGAGCUUGCUCCUUUGACGUUAGCGGCGGACGGGUGAGUAACACGUGGGUAACCUACCUAUAAGACUGGGAUAACUUCGGGAAACCGGAGCUAAUACCGGAUAAUAUUUCGAACCGCAUGGUUCGAUAGUGAAAGAUGGCUUUGCUAUCACUUAUAGAUGGACCUGCGCCGUAUUAGCUAGUUGGUAAGGUAACGGCUUACCAAGGCAACGAUACGUAGCCGACCUGAGAGGGUGAUCGGCCACACUGGAACUGAGACACGGUCCAGACUCCUACGGGAGGCAGCAGUAGGGAAUCUUCCGCAAUGGGCGAAAGCCUGACGGAGCAACGCCGCGUGAGUGAUGAAGGUCUUCGGAUCGUAAAACUCUGUUAUUAGGGAAGAACAAACGUGUAAGUAACUGUGCACGUCUUGACGGUACCUAAUCAGAAAGCCACGGCUAACUACGUG
rnacentral:rRNA from 1 species